rnacentral:rRNA from 1 species
CCGGCGCACGGGUGAGUAACACGUAUCCAACCUGCCGUCUACUCUUGGACAGCCUUCUGAAAGGAAGAUUAAUACAAGAUGGCAUCAUGAGUCCGCAUGUUCACAUGAUUAAAGGUAUUCCGGUAGACGAUGGGGAUGCGUUCCAUUAGAUAGUAGGCGGGGUAACGGCCCACCUAGUCUUCGAUGGAUAGGGGUUCUGAGAGGAAGGUCCCCCCACAUUGGAACUGAGACACGGUCCAAACUCCUACGGGAGGCAGCAUG